rnacentral:rRNA from 1 species
UACGAAGGGGGCUAGCGUUGUUCGGAUUUACUGGGCGUAAAGCGCACGUAGGCGGAUCGAUCAGUCAGGGGUGAAAUCCCAGAGCUCAACUCUGGAACUGCCUUUGAUACUGUCGAUCUGGAGUAUGGAAGAGGUGAGUGGAAUUCCGAGUGUAGAGGUGAAAAUUCGUAGAUAUUCGGAGGAACACCAGUGGCGAAGGCGGCUCACUGGUCCGAU